rnacentral:rRNA from 1 species
CCUACGGGAGGCAGCAGCCGCGGUAAUAUUGGACAAUGGGCGCAAGCCUGAUCCAGCCAUGCCGCGUGAGUGAUGAAGGCCCUAGGGUUGUAAAGCUCUUUCACCGGUGAAGAUAAUGACGGUAACCGGAGAAGAAGCCCCGGCUAACUUCGUGCCAGCAGCCGCGGUAAU